GGGGUUGUGGCUCAGUGAUAGAGCACUUACCUUGCAUGUGUGAGGCAUUGGGUUCAAUCCCCAGCACCCACA
rnacentral:tRNA from 1 species